rnacentral:rRNA from 1 species
AGAGUUUGAUCCUGGCUCAGAACGAACGCUGGCGGCAGGCCUAACACAUGCAAGUCGAGCGAGACCUUCGGGUCUAGCGGCGGACGGGUUAGUAACGCGUGGGAACGUGCCCUUCUCUGCGGAAUAGCCACUGGAAACGGUGAGUAAUACCGCAUACGCCCUUCGGGGGAAAGAUUUAUCGGAGAAGGAUCGGCCCGCGUUAGAUUAGAUAGUUGGUGGGGUAACGGCCUACCAAGUCUACGAUCUAUAGCUGGUUUUAGAGGAUGAUCAGCAACACUGGGACUGAGACACGGCCCAGACUCCUACGGGAGGCAGCAGUGGGGAAUCUUAGACAAUGGGCGCAAGCCUGAUCUAGCCAUGCCGCGUGUGUGAUGAAGGUCUUAGGAUCGUAAAGCACUUUCGCCAGGGAUGAUAAUGACAGUACCUGGUAAAGAAACCCCGGCUAACUCCGUGCCAGCAGCCGCGGUAAU